UACGUAGGGGGCAAGCGUUGUCCGGAAUCAUUGGGCGUAAAGCGCGUGUAGGCGGCCAGAUAAGUCCGUUCUGAAAGCCCGGGGCUCAACCCCCGGGAGGCGGAUGGAUACUGUUUGGCUCGAGUCCGGAAGAGGCGAGUGGAAUUCCCCGGUGUAGCGGUGAAAUGCGCAGAUAUCGGGAGGAACACCAAUGGCGAAGGCAGCUCGCUGGGACGGUACUGACGCUGAGACGCGAAAGCGUGGGGGAGCAAACAGGG
rnacentral:rRNA from 1 species